rnacentral:rRNA from 1 species
UACGUAGGGUGCAAGCGUUGUCCGGAAUUAUUGGGCGUAAAGAGCUCGUAGGCGGUUUGUCGCGUCUGCUGUGAAAACUGGGGGCUCAACCCCCAGCCUGCAGUGGGUACGGGCAGACUAGAGUGCGGUAGGGGAGAUUGGAAUUCCUGGUGUAGCGGUGAAAUGCGUAGAUAUCUGGAGGAACACCGGUGGCGAAGGCGGCAUUCUGGACCAAUACUGACGCUGAGGAGCGAAAGCCAGGGGAGCAAACGGG